UAACAUUUUUCUUCUAUACUUUUUUUUUCUUCUACACCGUUUGACCAUGUAGCAGAUAAAGAUGUUCUAAAAUGGGUUUACGGUAGAGGCAGAGCAAGUUCUUCUACAUUACUUCUGCAAUAGAUGAAAGGCUACUGGUGAAUCUUCUAAUGCAGAAGAAAAUUAGAGCCGAAAUAGAAGAUCGCUGUCUCAAGGUCAUCCGGAGGAAUCCGGGGCUUCUCAGCGAUAUCGUAGAAGAUAAAAACGGUCUUGUCAGAAGAAAAGUAGCAGCUAAAUCUUCUUCUACAAUACAUUGGAGUAAUGGGCAAAAAUAGAAGAAAAAAUAUCAAAUAAACUCGGUCUACACCCGGGUUUUUACUUCUAAAUUUCGGUAUACAGUGGCAAAAAUAGAAGAAAAAUGUUACACGGGAUCUAUUUACUUAAUUU